CUAUGUAAAUUCAGAAUUCUAGAACUUGUGUACAUGGGAAGAAAUUCUGAAAUUCUUUAUUAAUUACUAUUUCCUUGGAAAUGGGCUAAACUAAUUUGAAAUAAAGUGUGUCUAUAGGUGCAGUUAAUCCCUGUAAUCGAAACCCACUAUAUUCUGGAUUAAUGUUCACGACUAAACAAGCCUUUAGACUGAACUGUGAGCUUGUGGUGGAGUGGAAACCUUCAUCCAUGAUCGCAUUACUUUUAUUUAGUUGAAUCCUAUGUAUUUACUUAAACUGUAGCACACUGCUUUGCCAACAAAAGCAAGCAUAAAUGGAGACAGAAGAAAGACAAAUCUGGUAGUGUAAGUGGUCCUUUGCAACAGUAGCUGAUCAAAAACAAUUUCCAUCCCAUGAUAUCAAUAUAAACAUAUUUUAUCUCCCACAUUUAUUGAGAACAAAGGAGUCAUCAUGGUCAAGAAUGUGGCAGAGCAAGCACAUUUUGUUACCUGAUCUCAUAAGAAUGAAGGCAACAAUAUUAAGCAAGGAGAGAUUCAUUAAACUUGGCCAUGACUACUUGAGUAAUAUGUUGACACUGAAGCAGUGCAAAAAAUGUUAGUUCAGCUUGUGGUUCCUGCUGCACUGGAAAUGUAGAAAUUCCCUGAGAGACUUGAGGUCCCUGGAAAACCAUUGCAGAAAGUGGACCCAACUGAAUCAGUGAGAACAGAGAAAAUCUGAAAUACUGAUGUCUGGAAAAACAAAUCUAUACCAACUAACAAGUUUGUUCAUGUGCUUGAAUGGAUGAAGAUUAGAUACCCCUCUGAACCUUAAUGCAGUGUGAUAAUCUACUGAAAAAGCUACAACAUACCAACAGUGACAGUCUUCUUUAAAAAAUGUGUAGCUGCUGUGUGUGUAUGAAGCAAUUAAUAUUUCCUUCAAAGUCAUUCAAACAAACGCAUGGAUGACCACUGGAGAGGAACAUAAAGAGCAGCCUUACUGAACAGACCGGCUAUCCUGCUUCUGGCAGUGACCUACAACCAACACUUUGCUGGAAGAUGAAAAGCCCUUAGAGUAGCUGGACCUACCAUGCAACACUAUACCAUGAGGGACAGGGGAAUUCCUUCUCAAUCUCUGAUGUCAAUUACUUUAUGUCCUGAAGCAAGAAGACUUGUAACCUAACUAAUAGAAAAGCAAAAGUUAUUUCUAGUGUGCAUGUCAAACAUUUUUCCCAAAAUUUAUUACAAUUCUCAUCCAUAGCAUCCUAGAGAAAGAUCCAACAUGUCUACUACUGUGUUUGCAUUAAACAAGCA